CCUGUUGCUUCCUACGACUAGAUGCGCACGGGGGCUUGUGUGGCAAGGAUGACGACGGUGGGCAAUGUGAGAGGCGUGUUCUUGGUCGUGGUAGCCGACUCUUCUUCUCCAGCAUGUCCGUGGGUGUGCCUCGACUAUUUGUUGUUGCGAAGUUGAAGCCAUGGUGAAGGGCCGGUGGUAUACGAUGAUGCGUGACAGGUGGUUCUUUCGGUGAUCCUCCUUGACGUCAACCUUGCCUAGUUUACUCUGUAGUGUACAGUCGGAGUCGGAGCUACGCUGUCUAGUUUGAUUUGUAUGGAGUGUUAUGAUGCAGCCAUUAGGGCUAUUAUUUUUUUAUUUUUCUUUGAUCUUCGGAUCUUCUGGUCCUAGGACCUUCACCACCUUGUGUGUUUUCCGUUGUUUCCUGAUAUUAUCAAUGAAUGCCAGCGAUGCUGGAG
rnacentral:lncRNA from 1 species